rnacentral:snoRNA from 2 species
CGCCUGUGAUGUACAUGGUUUUGUCCGUACCAUCUGAGAUUUUUCUCUUCUUUGAUGUAUGUAAGCCUAGUUUCUGAGGCAC